CUACGUGCCAGCAGCCGCGGUAAUACGUAGGGUGCGAGCGUUAAUCGGAAUUACUGGGCGUAAAGCGAGCGCAGACGGUUACUUAAGCAGGAUGUGAAAUCCCCGGGCUCAACCUGGGAACUGCGUUCUGAACUGGGUGACUAGAGUGUGUUAGAGGGAGGUAGAAUUCCACGUGUAGCAGUGAAAUGCGUAGAGAUGUGGAGGAAUACCGAUGGCGAAGGCAGCCUCCUGGGAUAACACUGACGUUCAUGCUCGAAAGCGUGGGUAGCAAACAGGAUUAGAUACCCUGGUAGUCCACGCCCUAAACGAUGUCAAUUAGCUGUUGGGCAACUUGAUUGCUUAGUAGCGUAGCUAACGCGUGAAAUUGACCGCCUGGGGAGUACGGUCGCAAGAUUAAAACUCAAAGGAAUUGACGGGGACCCGCACAAGCGGUGGAUGAUGUGGAUUAAUUCGAUGCAACGCGAAGAACCUUACCKGUCUUGACAU
rnacentral:rRNA from 1 species